rnacentral:misc_RNA from 1 species
CUGAGUGCGGGCCCUCUGGGUCCAACCUCCCACCCGUGUUUAUUCGUACCUUGUUGCUUCGGCGGGCCCGCCGCAAGGCCGCCGGGGGGUCUCGUACCCCCGGGCCCGCGCCCGCCGGAGACACCAUUGAACACUGUCUGAAGGUUGCAGUCUGAGUCGAUUGAAUAAAUCGUUA